AGAGCAUCCCCAUCCCGUUCUAUAUCUCACACCCAUCCUUAUAAUUUGGAAAAAAAUUAUAGGAUUUGGCUCAAAAACCCUCUCCAUCCUGUUCCCCAAAAUGGGGAUGAAAAUUAGGGUGCUACAGGAGGUCCCCAUAUUUGAGGACCCACUAUACAUCUGCAUCGCUCUCUUGCCCCAACGGUUGCCCCUUCCAACCCGCGUCUUCUUCUCCCCCCCUCCUCCCUUCCCUCGCAAUGCGGCACGGUCGGAUUCUGCCCUCCUUGACUAAAUGCAGCGGCUAUAUUUCCAGCAACUCCAGAGGGAAAUCAUGAUGAGAUGCAGUAAUGCCCGAGAUUUGGAUUGAUUGUAAUGUAAUUUUUGUAUUGUACUUUUGAUGAUAGUUUCCUAUUAUACUUUUGUGCAAGUAAAUUGGAUGCCACAAUUUCAAAAACAA